rnacentral:lncRNA from 1 species
UUUUUUUUUUUCCUGGACUGAGAGAAAGAAGGGUGUCUGUGUAUUAGGGAGUGGGGUCCUAUGCUUGGUAAAAGAGGGGGGAAGGAAGGAAGGGAAGGAAGGAAGGAAGGAAGGAAGGAAGGCAGGCUUCUGUAUACAAUCCCCCAAACUGGGGAUGGUAGAAACAUGUGUUGUUUUCCCCCUUGAAUCUGUUGUAGGUCCAGCAUAUUGGCUCCCUCUGUUAAGAAAGCUUUGGAUGCUCUCACAGUUUGGGAGUGGGGUCAGGGAGAGGCAAAAGGUGUUGAAUCUGAGGACCUGGUUGGCUAUGCUUUCAUAGCUUCCCCACAGAGCUCAAAGCUUUUGCUUCUUUAAAUGCUGAGAGUUGUGUCCAGUUUGCCAGCUUCAAAACCCCCAGGUUUGAAAAGACCUAGGGCAGGAGCAUCUAGACUAGAACAUGCUUACUUAAUAUUUCCAAAUUGAACAGUCUAGAGAAAGUCUGUGAAGCUCCCAAAGGGCAUGACCGGCCUGGGUGGGCCAGUGCCAUCCUUGUUGGAGUGUCCCUAGCUCCCUGUUUUGGGGACCUUGGACUGGAGAGAUGAGGGGGAUGUUGUUUCCAGACUUUAGUGAGCUUCUUUCUGGGUGUCGACAGGGCCCGCUUUUAAGCUGGAUUUUUGGGAGCCUGGGAGGGGAGGGGUUUUAUAUGGGCAUUAUGUUUUAUAACUAGAGAAAAUAAUGCCAUGAUCUUAGUGCUUUCUUUCAUAGUCUGAGACUUUUGCCUACCUCUGAACAUACCAUCACUGACUUGGGCUAAGGAAGAGAAAUGGGCAGCUCUCUGGUUCCACUCCCAAGCUUUCCCAGGUGUGUGUGUUGGGGGGAGGGGGACAGAGUGCCUGGGUUUCCAGGAUAUCAAGCACCCUUUCCCUACACAAGUACACAAACAGAAUUUUACAUUGAAUGGGGCAAAGACUAGCAGGAAUUUUUUUUUUUUUCCACCAAUGUCUCUGCUUGAGAAGGGGGUUCUUAGCAUGGCUAUGUAAAUCAAUACCGAGUUAUUUCUUUGAAUUCAAAGGCUAUUUAUUGAGGUCUAAUUUCCUUAGAAUUAACGUGAUAACUGAGCCCAACUUAGCAACCAAACCCAACCAGGCCCUUCGGGGUUGAAUGCACUUCUACAGGGCACCAGAGACUGCACACCUUCCUCUGCACCCACCCCAUUCCCUGGCCAAAGGGAGUGGGCUAACCCCCCUCCAUAGCUAAAACGUAAGGGGACUUUCCGUCUCAAAGGUCCCAUUCCUCCCAGAGCGGCCUUGAGCUCCUUGACCUACCCGCGGUCCUAUAUUGACAAUCGUAAUCUUUCUCUAAAUAACGUUGACAGCUAGAAUACAAGCCCCCAAACCUCGACACCUUUAAAAGCAAAAGGUGGUCUAGGCCUCAAAGUCUGCCUUCUAAAACUUCUUAGUGAAUUAGACCCUCACCUAUUACAGGAUCUUAAAGAGCCUUUGGCCUGCUUGGCCUGCUACUCCUCCAGAUUGCCGGCUUUCCUUCUAUUUUGAAUGAUAAAGAGCGAGCGGGACUCGCCUGCCCUCCUCCUCCCACCCCCAGGGGCUGGCCGGGGAUCCCAGCCCGCAAAACAAAGAGGUAGAAGCCGCGCCGCCCGGCGGGCAUAGGGGCCUGGAGCCUCUGGGGCAGGCGCGCCCUUCGCUGGAGGCCCUGCAGAGUCCGAGAGUUCCUGCGUCUCAGGAGGGCCGGAGGUGCGCUCCGCCCUAGGACACACUCGGGGUGACCGGCCUCGGCUCGUUACCGCCGCCCACGACACGGGGCGAAGGACUCGGCAGCCCGGAUGCAGGGUUCGGCCGGACAGAAACGGCCGCGGGGAGCUGCCCCUGCGGCAGCCAGCCAUCGCGCACCCGAAUCCUCGAGCGGAGGCCGGUGGCAGAGGCCACACGUGGCAGCCACCAGCUGCGCGCCACCUUGGCAACCGUGUGGGGCCGGGCUGGCUCUCCGGCCGGCUCUUCCUGGGACUGGCCAGAAAGCCGGACGCCCAAGCAGCGGGGCAUUCUAUCCCGCACACUCGCACCGGGACCUGCACCAAGGAGCCCUGGUCCGCUCCGCUUCCCAGCCCCUGACUGCCGGAGCUCAAUCCGGUGCUCAGCAGGACCCUUCCCAUUGGCGACAACUGCUACUCCGGUGUAGCUGCCCACUUGCUCGUCUGGAACACAGUGCUGGGGUUUUAUCCUCUAAUGGGGGUGGGAUGAGCUACAACCCCGACAAUUUCAGCCCUCCAGGCUUCCUUGGGAAUUAACAAGGGGGGGAAGAAACCCUUUGCAAAUAGGGGCUGCUGAGCCCUGGAUCGGGUGUUCAGUGCGGGGACUUUCUCGGGUCCCGCCACGACCCGACCCGCUCCGUGUGCGGCCAGAGUUGGGGAAGCCGGCGAGGAAAGCGGUGCACCUGCGAGCAUAAAGAGAGAAACACAGACGAGCAAGGGGUUGGGGGGCGGGGGGGAGAGAAACGCCUUCACCGCGUUAACAGCAAGCUGCAGGGUAUAAAGCAAUAAAACUGCCACGUCUACCUGCUGGCUUUGAGGACAUUACCAACAAGCUCGGCUCGAAGCCCGGGUGCACCGAGAGCCCGCCGGGGAAGGGGGGGUGCUUUUCUUUUCCUGACCUCUCCUCUGCCCCCCCAUAUACACACCCUACACACAUCUCCCCCUUACCCAGACCACCUUUCAUUUUCCUUGAAGCUUUUUUUGUUGUUGUUUUAAUUCACUGCCGAUUUGUAAACGCGUGGAUCGGGUUACUGGUUCGCGUGUUAAAGUGCACCUCUUGUUAAAAGAAGGGGAACAAGGCACGCCACUUAAAAAUGAAUUCAGAGUUACUGAACCGGCUCCCGAGGCUCAAGAAGUUAAGCUCGGCGGGCUGGGGCUGGGGGGUGGGGGUGGGGGAGAGAGAGUAAAACGCUGCUGCCCUGCGAACCCUGGAGAAAACCCAUGGGCAGCGAGCUUCAGGUAUGUGAUAAGAUGGAGGAAGGAAGGAAAGAAAAAGAAAAAGGCAAACUAGCCUGGCGACGCCUGGAGACCCCGGGCUGGGAGCCGCGUAAAUCAAUUAACAAAAGCCGCUACUGCCGAGCUCCGCACAGCGAGUAAAUGGAGUCCGAGCUGACACUUCUGCAGCCACCUUUCCCGGAGUUCGAGGCGAGCGGAACCGAUACAUUGUCAAUUUCUCGGGUCCCAUAGGUCGCCUAACUUAUGGAGUCCAAGCGAAGGGGAUGCAUAGAAGUCCCAGUAGUCUUCCCAAAGAAAGACCCAGACUUGUCCCUGCAACCUCUAGACACGUUGACCUGAAGACGUUAGAUGGUGCAUGUGUCCGUGUGGUCAAAGGCUCGCGGCUCGGGUCCAGUGGCGGACUGAACGCUGGCGCCGAGCCCACGGGGGUCUGCAUACAGUGCCCACCCAGUCCCGAUCCACUGACGGUGCAGACGUCCUGCGCCUCCCCGCAGUCCCGGGCCCCGACUCCUGGCGCCUCCCGGCCUGCCCUCUUCCGCGCCCGCUCCCGGGUCCGGCUCUCCUACCUGGUGGCCGGGCCUGAGCUGCGCUCCGGGACUCCGUGCGGUCUCCGCUCGGCUGCCUGGAUCUGAGUGGGUCUGGAGACUAGAGGGAGAAAGGCUAGAUCCGCAG